rnacentral:rRNA from 1 species
AUUGAACGCUGGCGGCAGGCUUAACACAUGCAAGUCGAGCGAGCGGCGGACGGGUGAGUAAUGUCUGGGAAACUGCCUGAUGGAGGGGGAUAACUACUGGAAACGGUAGCUAAUACCGCAUACCAUCAGAUGUGCCCAGAUGGGAUAAGCUAGUAGGAGGGGUAAUGGCUCACCUAGGCGACGAUCCCUAGCUGGGCUGAGAGGAUGACCAGCCACACUGGAACAGAGAAACGGUCCAGACGCCGAGGGAAGGCAGAAGUGGGGAAUAUUGCACAAUGGGAGCAAGCCUGAUGAAACCAUGCCGCGUGUGUGAAAAAGGCCUUCGAGUUGUAAAGCACUUUCAGCGAGGAGGCGUUACUCGCAGAAGAAGCACCGGGUAACUCCGUGCCAGCAGCCGCGGUAAUAC